UACGGAGGGAGCUAGCGUUGUUCGGAAUUACUGGGCGUAAAGCGCACGUAGGCGGCUUUGUAAGUUAGAGGUGAAAGCCCGGGGCUCAACUCCGGAACUGCCUUUAAGACUGCAUCGCUUGAAUCCAGGAGAGGUGAGUGGAAUUCCCAGUGUAGCGGUGAAAUGCGUAGAUAUUGGGAGGAACACCAGUGGCGAAGGCGGCUCACUGGACCGGCAUUGACGCUGAGGUGCGAAAGCGUGGGGAUCAAACAGG
rnacentral:rRNA from 1 species